rnacentral:lncRNA from 1 species
CGGGCACGCCCACCCGGGUCCGCCGGAGCUGGGGGGCUGGCGCUUGGGCCCCCUCCCGGCCUCCGCCCCUGAGCACUGCGCAGGCUGUGGGCGGCGCCCGCCGGGGCAGGGGGCGUCCCGGGUCACCCGGCGGCCCGGAUCGGCCCGUGACGCCCUCACCCCACCCCUCGGCGGGCCGCAAACGUCCAGAGAGCGCCCCCUCCCCAAGCCCCGACCUGAGCGGGGCGCUAGAAGCCGGGAGGACAAAUCAGACGAAACAGUGUUGACAUGAGGCAGAUCAGAUGGCCGGCCUUCCUGGUGACCAGAUUUCAGGACAGCAAGCAUCCCGGCCAGACCCCAGGUACUCUAAUGGGGUCCAUAGGGCCCUGGGAGUGAGCAGCUCUGCCUGAACUGCAGGAUGGGGCAUCCUAGAGGGAGGAGAGGGCAUCUGGACAGAGGGGCCUAAAGUGUCUGGGUGGCAUCUAGACUGGGCAGACAGUGCCUGGAUCGAGUACUGGGGUGGGGCUGGAAACGGCCCAAGAGGUGCCAGAAGGAGGUGGAGCUGUUCUGAGCCCCGUGCUGCCAAGAGGGAUGUCCUGGCCUUGGAGGGACCUUUGAGGUCAUCUAAUCCAGCCUCUUGGUGUGUGACCACUAGGACCUCCCCCACUUCUAAUUAAACUUUCCUUCUUUCUUUCUUUUUUUUUUUUCUUGAGACCGAGUCUCGCUCUGUUACCCAGGUAGUUUGUUCCUUGCUAUUGUGGAGUGGUCAGCAUUCCAUGGAAUGGGUGCAUCAUAAUUUGUUUAGCCAUUCACUUGUCGAAGACUAUCUGGGUUGAUUGCCAGUUUGGG